AAUAUUGCACAAUGGGCGAAAGCCUGAUGCAGCAACGCCGCGAGAGUGAUGAAGGCCUUCGGGUAGUAAAGAUCUUUGAUCAGGGAUGAUAAUGACAGUACCUGAAAACCAAGCCACGGCUAACUUCGUUCCAUCAGCCACGCGAAUACGUAGGUGGCGAGCGUUGUCCGGAAUUACUUGGCGUAAAGGCUGCGUAGGUGGAUACUUAAGUGGGAUGUGAAAUCACCGAGCUCAACACGGGAACUGCAUUCCAAACAUGGUAUCUAGAGUGCAAGAGAGGAAAGCGAAAUUCCUAAUGUAGCGGUGAGAUGCGUAAAUAUUAGGAGGAACACCAGUGGCGAAGGCGGCUUUCUGGACUGUAACUGACACUGAGGCAUGAAAGCGUGGGUAGCAAACAGG
rnacentral:rRNA from 1 species